rnacentral:rRNA from 1 species
GACGAACGCUGGCGGCGUGCUUAACACAUGCAAGUCGAACGGAAAGGCCCUGCUUUUGUGGGGUGCUCGAGUGGCGAACGGGUGAGUAACACGUGAGUAACCUGCCCUUGACUUUGGGAUAACUUCAGGAAACUGGGGCUAAUACCGGAUAGGAGCGCCUGCUGCAUGGUGGGGGUUGGAAAGUUUCGGCGGUUGGGGAUGGACUCGCGGCUUAUCAGCUUGGUGGUGGGGUAGUGGCUUACCAAGGCUUUGACGGGUAGCCGGCCUGAGAGGGUGACCGGCCACAUUGGGACUGAGAUACGGCCCAGACUCAUACGGGAGGCAGCAGUGGGGAAUAUUGCACACUGGGCGGAAGCCUGAUGCAGCAACGCCGCGUGCGGGAUGACGGCCUUCGGGUUGUAAACCGCUUUCGCCUGUGACGAAGCGUGAGUGACGGUAAUGGGUAAAGAAGCACCGGCUAACUACGUG